ensembl:lncRNA
ACAACAAAACGUCCAUGUGUGUGACAAUACGGGCUGCUUUCAGUGUGCUUUUUUGUGUUUUUUGUCAUGUUUGGAGCUCAACAGCUGUGAUUACUAUGCACUGUUUUAUAUGCAUUAAGACCUUUUGUGUUCUUGUGUUUGAUUUGGAAUUACAUGGGGUAAUUAGUGACCAAAUUUUUCACAUUUUACUUUUUUUUUUUGAUGAAUUGCCCCUUUAAGCUCUGUAAAAGAUCGAAAAGUUAGAUUUUUUUCAAAUUAAAAACAAGAUUUAUCACCUGUAAGGUGCUAAAGUAUGCAUAAAUGAGUGGAUAUCAUAGCGGUUUUGGCCACAGGAGGGCAAUGAUGACUUAUACUAAGCUUUUACCUCAAGGCCAAGAACAAGUGAUUGGAAGAAUGCACUGUUUUUGUUUUAAGCAUUUGUGUGUGAUCACAAAUGCGAUAUUAAGAGUGUCUGUCUCUGUGCGUCACUGGCCUCUCAAGCAAGAGUUUUAGCACUGCUGUGAAAAGCUCCUUCACACAUCACUCACAUUUAGGGCCCCUACAGUCACUGAACCUUGAAAGCAGCAGGACUAAAGAACACUGCAGAGAAACAGAGAGACACUGAUGUCUCAGGAGCCACGGAGAGUACACAAAAAAUCAACAAAAGGAAUAAAAUCCCAAUGCUUAUCUGCUGUAGAAAACACAGACCUGAAAUAAAUCCCAUCACAUUCCCUCUGGAAUCAGCGGUUUGUGUCUCACAGCAUUAGCAUUUGAUGCUGUGCUGUUGAUAUCUUUGUUUGAGCAUCUACACAUACUGAUGGUGUGCAGGUUCUCUGUUAAAGGUUAUUCUGUUUGUCAGACACUUGCAUUCUGGACUCAUGCUGUCCUGUCUACUGACUCAGCCACGCCUCUGCAGCCUCAAUGUCGAUAAGUCGAUAGCAUCGGGCCGUGGUGCAAUUAAGACAUUAUUAAACUGUUCAUCGGCCCCUUCUGAACUCCAGACUCACCCGCGGGCUCCCAGCGGUCCUUCCUCCAUGAAAUCCCCAGUCUGUCUGUGAAACCUUGGCUGUGCCCCACGCAUCUGCGAC